rnacentral:rRNA from 1 species
AGUGAACGCUGGCGGUAGGCCUAACACAUGCAAGUCGAACGGCAGCACAGUAAGAGCUUGCUCUUACGGGUGGCGAGUGGCGGACGGGUGAGGAAUACAUCGGAAUCUACUUUUUCGUGGGGGAUAACGUAGGGAAACUUACGCUAAUACCGCAUACGACCUACGGGUGAAAGCAGGGGAUCUUCGGACCUUGCGCGAUUGAAUGAGCCGAUGUCGGAUUAGCUAGUUGGCGGGGUAAAGGCCCACCAAGGCGACGAUCCGUAGCUGGUCUGAGAGGAUGAACAGCCACACUGGAACUGAGACACGGUACAGAGUCCUACGGGAGGCAGCAGUGGGGAAUAGUGGACAAUGGGCGCAAGACUGAUCCAGCCAUACCGCGUGGGUGAAGAAGGCCUUCGGGUUGUAAAGCCCUUUUGUUGGGAAAGAAAAGCAGCAGGUUAAUACCCCGCUGUUCUGACGGUACCCAAAGAAUAAGCACCGGCUAACUUCGUG